GAUGAACGCUGGCGGCGUGCCUAAUACAUGCAAGUCGAGCGAACAGACGAGGAGCUUGCUCCUCUGACGUUAGCGGCGGACGGGUGAGUAACACGUGGAUAACCUACCUAUAAGACUGGGAUAACUUCGGGAAACCGGAGCUAAUACCGGAUAAUAUAUUGAACCGCAUGGUUCAAUAGUGAAAGACGGUUUUGCUGUCACUUAUAGAUGGAUCCGCGCCGCAUUAGCUAGUUGGUAAGGUAACGGCUUACCAAGGCAACGAUGCGUAGCCGACCUGAGAGGGUGAUCGGCCACACUGGAACUGAGACACGGUCCAGACUCCUGCGGGAGGCAGCAGUAGGGAAUCUUCCGCAAAGGGCGAAAGCUUGACGGAGCAACGCCGCGUGAGUGAUGAAGGUCUUCGGAUCGUAAAACUCUGUUAUUAGGGAAGAACAAAUGUGUAAGUAACUAUGCACGUCUUGACGGUACCUAAUCAGAAAGCCACGGCUAACUACGUG
rnacentral:rRNA from 1 species